GCAGAGGACCACAGGCGGAAUGUAGCAGAGUAUAGGAAAUUUCUGGAAUCCUGUGAUUUCAUUAAGGUCAAUAGCCCAUGGCGGAAAGUUCAAGGUUGCUUGGAGGAUGAUGAAAGGUGCUUGCGUCUUGGAAAACUUGACCACCUACUCACUUUCCAGGAUUAUAUUCGUGACCUGGAGAAGGAAGCAGAGGAGCAAAAGAAGAUACAGAAGGUUAAGUACUGGCCUCAAUAUCAUGCUGUUGCAACAAACA
rnacentral:misc_RNA from 1 species